rnacentral:rRNA from 1 species
GACAUGACUCCCGGCGACGGAUAUCUAGGCCCUCGCAUCGAUGAAGAACGCAGCGAAAUGCGAUAGUUGGUGUGAAUUGCAGAAUCCCGUGAAUCAUCGAGUCCUUGAACGCAAGUUGCGCCAGAAGUCGUCAGACUGAUGGCAUGUCUGCCUGGGCGUC